rnacentral:antisense_RNA from 1 species
GCUUCCUGGCCAGUAAUCCUUUCAAGUCUCCAGGGUGCUUGCAACCAUCCUCACCUCUUCCCAGGGGAAAGAUUCUGCCCUGGGAGAUUCUCUCCUUGCCAUGGGGAUGAGGACAAAUUCUCCCUUCCUCCUUGAGAUUGGACUCCCGCCACACAUCCUGGAGGAGCCUACAGAGAAGCCGGCAGGUCUCCCUCACCUGGAUGGUGGCAGUGGGGGGCCUGGACCACCCAGAGGCCCUCCCCUGCACCUGACGGGAAGCCCCUGGGGCAUAAGUCUCCCCUGCCACUUCCACUGUGGUCACUAGAAGUGUGGCGGAGAAAAUCGCUAGGACAAAAAGAAGUCAAUGAUUUCAACCAGUGGAAUUUCUUUGUCCUUUGUAAAAGUCAACACAUGAUCUGUUACUGAUUGGGAUGUGAAAUAAAACUAAAAAUAACAGCACACUGAGCCUGGCUCAGGGCUCAGCUCACCUUUA